rnacentral:rRNA from 1 species
UAGGGAAUCUUCGGCAAUGGACGAAAGUCUGACCGAGCAACGCCGCGUGAGUGAAGAAGGUUUUCGGAUCGUAAAACUCUGUUGUUAGAGAAGAACAAGGACGUUAGUAACUGAACGUCCCCUGACGGUAUCUAACCAGAAAGCCACGGCUAACUACGUGCCAGCAGCCGCGGUAAUACGUAGGUGGCAAGCGUUGUCCGGAUUUAUUGGGCGUAAAGCGAGCGCAGGCGGUUUCUUAAGUCUGUUGUGAAAGCCCCCGGCUCAACCGGGGAGGGUCAUUGGAAACUGGGAGACUUGAGUGCAGAAAAGGAGGGUGGAAUUCCAUGUGUAGCGGUGAAAGGCGUAGAUAUAUGGAGGAACACCAAUGGCGAAGGCGGCUCUCUGGUCGGUAACUGACGCUGAGGCUCGAAAGCGUGGGGAGCAAACAGG